UAGAAAAAAUGCCCUUCAUUAAGGCAUGUAUCUGCUGAACUCUUACCAACUCCAGGAGUAGGAAAAGCAGAAAGAACUUGGAAGUGCAUUUGGGAUCUGAUGUUCUCCUUUUGCCAAUAGACAAACUCCUACACCCUUUACUUGGGCUGCAAGGUUUGGAGCCUGGAAAUUCAAUCAGCUGGAGAGCAUGUCCUGGGAACAGCCUGCUGAGUUCAGCCAUAUCUGAGAUGAAAGUGAAGAAGGAAAUCUUCCACGUGGCUGCAUCUCAAAAAGCAGGUAUUUCUCAUAGAAAUGGGCCCAGUUUGUCCUAGCUCUGGUCUGGGUCUGCACCCGGUUCCUGAUGGGAUCUAGAGGGGCUUUUAGGGUCAUAAUACUUCCCUCCCCUUGGUCAUCUCCAUGAGAUGUAAAGCCAUCCCAAGACAACACUGCUGACCCACACAGGGAGGAAGCUGUUCGGAGCACCACAAGAGCUUCUUGGCUGACCCACCAAAGCAAAGAGACACAGUAGUGCAGCUGCCCAACGUGUUCACCUGGCCCACACCUACAGAGAGACCCCUGGAAGUCUGUUUGAAUUGAACAAAAACAAAGCAAGGAUUUCCGUGCAGGUUCGGCCUGUAGAUUCAAACGUUAUUGA
rnacentral:lncRNA from 1 species